rnacentral:sRNA from 1 species
UUGACAACCCUGGAGACUGAAGACCUAUUUAUUCACAGACCAGGUACAGCAUGGGCAGUGGCAGUCAAAGCUUCCCUCACUCACGCCUUUCCAGGGUGGCUCAGCCCUGACCUUCAGGGGCUGCCUCUAAGAGUGAGAGGGUAGUUCAGGUUCCACAGCCCAUUCAGUCUUUGGUCUCU